rnacentral:rRNA from 1 species
CCGCACAAGCGGCGAGCAUGCGGAUUAAUUCGAUGCAACGCGAAGAACCUUACCAAGGCUUGACAUGCACCGGUAACGCCCAGAGAUGGGUGCCCCUUUGUGGUCGGUGGACAGGUGGUGCAUGGUUGUCGUCAGCUCGUGUCGUGAGAUGUUGGGUUAAGUCCCGCAACGAGCGCAACCCUCGUCCUAUGUUGCCAGCGGGUCAUGCCGGGGACUCAUGGGAGACUGCCGGGGUCAACUCGGAGGAAGGUGGGGAUGACGUCAAAUCAUCAUGCCCCUUAUGUCUUGGGCUUCACGCAUGCUACAAUGGCCGGUACAAAGGGCUGCGAUACCGCGAGGUGGAGCGAAUCCCAGAAAGCCGGUCUCAGUUCGGAUUGGGGUCUGCAACUCGACUUCAUGAAGGCGGAAUCGCUAGUAACCGCGAAUCAGCAGGUCGCGGUGAAUACGUUCCCGGGCCUU